CUACUUUCAUUUUUGGUGAGACCCGUGCACGUGUUGGAUCAGUUCCAAGAAAAAGAUGACAGGAGACGCGAGUAGUAGGUCAUAGAAUGGCCACUGAUCACUUCUGUGACUCUUUAACUUGGAAAAGAUCAAGAUUGAUCUCUUGACAGAAGAUAAAAUGACAUUUGUGUAGAAAGGGGCAUAUACAAUACAAUGUAUAUUAUUUAAAUAAAACUGAAAAUUUG